rnacentral:tRNA from 1 species
CGGGGUGUAGCGCAGCCCGGUAGCGCGCGUCGUUCGGGACGACGAGGCCGUGGGUUCGAAUCCCGCCACCCCGA